rnacentral:rRNA from 1 species
CAAUAGCGUAUAUUAAAGUUGUUGCAGUUAAAAAGCUCGUAGUUGAAUUUUUGCUUGCCGCCGGUGUCGGAACUUCCGUACGUUCGGCGGCGUGCAUCCUUGGGUGGAACCUGUGUGGCAUUAGGUUGUCGUGCAGGGGAUGCUCAUCGUUUACUGUGAAAAAAUUAGAGUGUUCAAAGCAGGCUUACGCCGUUGAAUAUAUUAGCAUGGAAUAAUAAGAUAGGACCUUGGUACUAUUUUGUUGGUUUGCGCACCGAGGUAAUGAUUAACAGGGACAGUUGGGGGUAUUCGUAUUCCAUUGUCAGAGGUGAAAUUCUUGGAUUUCUGGAAGACGAACUACUGCGAAAGCAUUUACCAAGGAUGUUUUCAUUAA